UAAAAAAAAAAAUAAAUAAAAUAAAAUAUGCUUAUCUAGCAGAACUAGGUUCAGAUCCCACCCAGUUUCAUCACUUUCUAGUCAUGGGACUUAUAAUGAUUUAUUUGUUCUGACCCUCAAUUUCCACAUCUGUGAAACAGGAGUAAUAGUACCUUCUCAUCAUUUCCUGGGAAAUUUAAAUAAUGCAAUAUUUCAGGGCCUAGCACAUCAUAAACAUUCAAUAAGUGUUAGUUAUUAGUAGUAAUAUCACUGUUGCAUUAUAUUUCUACAAAUUCCUGGGCAAAAUGGAGCAUCUGUAUUUCCAUCGAUGGGUGUAUAUAUUAUGCAAAUAAACAGGUGCCAAGAAGGGGAGAACUGUUUUGAUACGCUGAAUGAUUUGCAUUUACUUCUUCUGGGUACUCAAGCUUCAGUUAGAGGAAUUGGUGCUAGACUUGAAUCCCCUGCUUUUGGGACUAACAUUGCAAUGAAAGCUAUGGCCAUAAGUGUAGAGAGGGAGAAUGGUAUCCUUGUGAAGUGAACAGAAUGAUUUGUAUGUAUGUUUCCUUCUCUAGAGCCAUGAUUCCCAUCAUAAUGUGACAACAGUCUGCAAAAUAUGCUCUACAGAUGUAGAGACACUUUCAAAUGGCUCUACUGAGUGUCAGAAUGUCACUUUGGAAUCCUCUUUCUUCCUCAUCCUGGGUAUUCAAAUACAAUAGACUCUGCAGAGGGCAUGUGAAGAAUGCCCUAUCCCACUGGGGUUAAUGGUCAGGGUGGAUUCCUGUCUUGAUGAAUGUUAAAACUUGAGCUAGUUUGGGAGGCAUUGCCCUGAGUGCCAUCCUGUCACUUAAUCCUACUCAGUCAUAUCCCUUCUGAAGGGAGGCAAGGCAGAGAGGUACCUAUAGCCUUUUUUUUUUUUUUUUACCUGUAUAUGUUAGAAGGUGCCUUGGGUAGAUUAUGGAAUAAAAUGUUCUUGGUUUUUACCCAUGAGAAGCUGAGGGCUAGCCUGGGGAAAUGCCUUGGCCAUGGCCACAAAGCAUCGUUGGGCAAAUACAGUGAGAGAAACCCAGGCAAUAAGAGCUGGACAUCUUGAAGUACCUUGUUUGCAUCUAUGACUUUGCACAAAUAUACUGACGAAUUUUUGGCUGUGGGCCCACAGCUCUAGCAACUACCGCACAAGGCAGUGAGCUCUGCAGAGACAGCCAUCGGAGUGCCUGGAACCCUGUCUACCUGGGGCAUUUUCUCAUGGGAGUUAAGGCAGGAGCACAAGGUGACCUGCUAUUCCCUCUGCAACCCCAUUUUCUCCUCCUAAGCUCAGUUGCCUCAUCUGUAACAGGGAAGGGUAGUGGCUAGGAGAGCAGUCUUCAGGGUCUGUUGUCCUGGACUAGAAACCCGUUUCUAGUUGUGAGAUCUGGCCAAACUCUUCACUUGCCUGAAGCUUAUUUUCCCCAUCUGUAGAAAAGAGUUAAUGGUGCCUUCCUGCGUGAGACUGUUGUGAGGUUUGAAUGAGACAACUAUGCAAGGAAGCACCCAGUAAGCUUAUCAAUACAAGCCCAGGCUCUGUCUCCCCAGGCCUCCUAUCGGCUAAGUACAGAUCACUUAGGUUUGACUCUUAGCCCGGUCACUUCCUGGUUCUGUGACUUUGGGCAAACUCCUGCCCAGACCUUUAGCCUCAGCAUCCCCAUCUUAAACUGAGAUGGCGACAGUGCCUGCCCCCGCGGGCUGGCGGAGUUUAAGAGACGUCGGUGAGCACAGCUCCGGGAGCACCGAAGUCCUCUCCUCGCAUUCUCCGCUGCUGGUUUCGCCUGGCACCGACCGGGCUCCCUGAAUACCCGUGGAACCGCGAGAGGACCGGCCGGCGGGGAGCCUGGCUGUCGUGACCGUGUUCCGCACCCGGUACUCGCCGAGUGGCAGAGGACGCGCGCGAGGGGGCGCACCCGAGUCCGGAUUCGCCUCGCCGCGCCGCGCCCUCCCUCCCUCCUCCCGCCUCGCUCGCUCCCUCCCUCCGAGGAGCCUUGCAGCGCCGCCCCUGCCAGCCCCCUCCCGGGGCGGGGAGCCGGACGGUGGGCGGCGGCGGCGGCGGCGGCGAGCGGGCCGCGGAGGACGCGCCGCCAGCGCCUCUCUCCCGCGUCCCUCGCCCCGGGCGGCCCGGGGCUGCCGCGGCCCGCGGGUGCCCGCCCUGCCUCGCAGGCCAUGGGGGAAGGGGGCGCCGUGGGGCGCCGCCGGCCCUUCCCCGGGGCGCCGCGGCGGCGCUGGUGGCGGCGACAGCAGCAGCAGCAGCGGCAACGGCAGCGCUGGUGGCCGGGCCGCGGCGGCGGCGGCGGCGAGGGCGCG
rnacentral:lncRNA from 1 species